rnacentral:rRNA from 2 species
GAUUAGAGUUUGAUCCUGGCUCAGGACGAACGCUGGCGGCGUGCCUAAUACAUGCAAGUCGAACGCACUCUCGUUUAGAUUGAAGGAGCUUGCUCCUGAUUGAUAAACAUUUGAGUGAGUGGCGGACGGGUGAGUAACACGUGGGUAACCUGCCCUAAAGUGGGGGAUAACAUUUGGAAACAGAUGCUAAUACCGCAUAAAACCUAACACCGCAUGGUGUAGGGUUGAAAGAUGGUUUCGGCUAUCACUUUAGGAUGGACCCGCGGUGCAUUAGUUAGUUGGUGAGGUAAAGGCUCACCAAGACCGUGAUGCAUAGCCGACCUGAGAGGGUAAUCGGCCACACUGGGACUGAGACACGGCCCAGACUCCUACGGGAGGCAGCAGUAGGGAAUCUUCCACAAUGGACGAAAGUCUGAUGGAGCAACGCCGCGUGAGUGAAGAAGGUUUUCGGAUCGUAAAACUCUGUUGUUGGAGAAGAAUGUAUCUGAUAGUAACUGAUCAGGUAGUGACGGUAUCCAACCAGAAAGCCACGGCUAACUACGUGCCAGCAGCCGCGGUAAUACGUAGGUGGCAAGCGUUGUCCGGAUUUUUGGGCGUAAGCGAGCGCAGGCGGUUCUUAGUCUGAUGUGAAAGCUUCGGCUCACCGAAAAAUGCAUCG